CCUACGGGUGGCAGCAGUGAGGAAUAUUGGUCAAUGGACGGAAGUCUGAACCAGCCACGCCGCGUGCAGGAAGACGGCUCUAUGAGUUGUAAACUGCUUUUGUACAAGGGUAAACCUGAAUACGUGUAUUCAGCUGACAGUACUGUACGAAGAAGGAUCGGCCAACCGCGUGCCAGCAGCCGCGGUAAUACGGAGGAUCCAAGCGUUAUCCGGAUUUAUUGGGUUGAAAGGGUGCGUAGGCGGAUUGAUAAGCUGGAGGGGAAAUGUCCGAGCUUAACUCGGGAACUGCCUCGAAUACUGUUGAUCUAGAGAGUAGAUGCGGUAGGCGGAAUGUAUGGUGUAGCGGUGAAAUGCUUAGAGAUCAUACAGAACACCGAUUGCGAAGGCAGCUUAC
rnacentral:rRNA from 1 species